CUCAGUUCUGCAGUAGUUACAGCGGCGCAUAACUUCCUCUCCAUUAACCAUCUUCUUCUUCAUUGCCACCAGCACCACCACUAUUAUCUUCAGUACCACUAGCAUCACCAAUGAGCUAUAAAUGGAAUAGGGUUUUGUGUCUCAUAUACCCUGGAGGGACGGAGGGAGUGAAAAUGGUCUGAUUUAGGUAUUUUGUGUGAGCGGAAUCGGAAAUUAGGUCUUCAUAAUUUGUGAAAUUUGGGCAAUAUGGAAUAUACUAGGGUCUUUUACUUAGAAGAUUCGUGGUUGGUUAAAUGCACUGAUGUAAAGAUAUCUAGACUUCACGGAGGGGUACAAAGAUGCUAAAAACUUUGAAGGUUGUAGCUUCAAAAUACCUUAUAGAUGAUUCCUCCUCGAAUUGGGAUGCUAAUUCCCCUUGAGAUCAAGUUAUGGUUUAAAAAGCUGAAAGUCAGUGCUGAUGGCAUUUUGGAUGAAUUCUCCUAAGAAACCUCUUGCGUUUACACACCAAUUCAAACAGUUUAAGGACUUGAAGUUGAAGUAUAUGUGAUUUUGCCUCAUCCUGCAAUUUCGUUUCAAGCUGGCUACAAGAUUUGCAGAUAUUGACAUAAAACUAGAGGUUCGGACACUUGAAUAGUUUUCUGAUUGCCGUAAUGACAUCUACUCUCAUUAAUAUGCAGGCAAACAUGGAACCCAAUAGCUUUGAAAUACCUUGCAGAUGAUUCUUCCUAAAAUUGUGAUGCUGAGAAAAAGCAAGUGAUUUAAUUGGAUCGAAUUUUAGUUGAAAAGGCUUAAAGACAGUGCUUGUGAGGCUGAUGGCAUAAUGGAUGAAUUUUCUUAUGAUAUCUCUUGCGUCUAAGCCGAUCGAGGCAGUUUGAAGUAUAUGUGAUUUCUGCUCAUCCCCCAAGUUCGUUUCAAGGUGGCUAGAUUUUUUUGAAGCUAAAAAUUAGAGGUUCUGCCAGUGAUACAGUUAUCCAGUUUCCACAAUGACUUCUCUCCUCAUCAGAACAUUUGGAGGCACCGAACUGGGCAAUUUCAGAUGUGCAUCAGCAGAAGAGGCAGAAGCAGUAACACUGCUUCAGGCAGUUAAAUGGGCCAAACAAAGAAAUCUUCAAAAUCUGGUCAUUGAGGGGGAUAACUCAUCUACUAUUCUAGAUCUACAAGGAAAGAAAAGCAAAAGCAAGGCAAUCUUAGAUCAAGCUAGAAGUGUGGCAGACACAAUUUAAUCUCUUUUUUGGGUUUUCAGUUUGAUGAUAGAAAGGCGAACGGGGUAGCAGAUAUACUUGCUAAGAAACUUCUAUAUCAACAGUUUCUUAUGAAAAUUCAGCACCAGUUUUUUUAAUUCCUAGUUUAACUUUUGACAUUAGAUUAGUUAAUUCUAUGUAAGUUUGUUUGGCUUUCACCGAGCCAAAAUAAAAAAUACAUCAGCUUGCCCUCACGCAGGAUUGAACUGCGGACCUCCAGUUUACAAGACUGGCGCUCUACCACUGAGCUAUAAGGGCUGUUGACGAAAGAUUCACA